GACGAACGCUGGCGGCGUGCCUAAUACAUGCAAGUAGAACGCUGAAGGAGGAGCUUGCUCUUCUGGAUGAGUUGCGAACGGGUGAGUAACGCGUAGGUAACCUGCCUGGUAGCGGGGGAUAACUAUUGGAAACGAUAGCUAAUACCGCAUAAGAGUAGAUGUUGCAUGACAUUUGCUUAAAAGGUGCAAUUGCAUCACUACCAGAUGGACCUGCGUUGUAUUAGCUAGUUGGUGGGGUAACGGCUCACCAAGGCGACGAUACAUAGCCGACCUGGGAGGGGGAUCGGCCACACUGGGACUGAGACACGGCCCAGACUCCUACGGGAGGCAGCAGUAGGGAAUCUUCGGCAAUGGACGGAAGUCUGACCGAGCAACGCCGCGUGAGUGAAGAAGGUUUUCGGAUCGUAAAGCUCUGUUGUAAGAGAAGAACGAGUGUGAGAGUGGAAAGUUCACACUGUGACGGUAGCUUACCAGAAAGGGACGGCUAACUACGUG
rnacentral:rRNA from 1 species